UACGUAGGGAGCAAGCGUUGUCCGGAAUCAUUGGGCGUAAAGCGCGCGUAGGCGGCCCUGUAAGUCCGUUGUGAAAGUCAAAGGCUCAACCUUUGAAAGCCGAUGGAUACUGCAGGGCUAGAGUCCGGAAGAGGCGAGUGGAAUUCCUGGUGUAGCGGUGGAAUGCGCAGAUAUCAGGAAGAACACCCGUGGCGAAGGCGGCUCUCUAGGACGGUACUGACGCUGAGACGCGAAAGCGUGGGGAGCGAACAGG
rnacentral:rRNA from 1 species